UAUUGGUCAAUGGGCGGGAGCCUGAACCAGCCAAGUCGCGUGAGGGAUUAAGGCCCUACGGGUCGUAAACCUCUUUUGCCGGGGAGCAGGGCGGCGGACGUGUCCGCCGUUUGAGAGUACCCGGAGAAAAAGCAUCGGCUAACUCCGUGCCAGCCGCCGCGGUAAUACGGAGGAUGCGAGCGUUAUCCGGAUUUAUUGGGUUUAAAGGGUGCGUAGGCGGGCUCUUAAGUCAGCGGUAAAAAUUCGGGGCUCAACCCCGUCCGGCCGUUGAAACUGGGGGCCUUGAGUGGGCGAGAAGAAGGCGGAAUGCGUGGUGUAGCGGUGAAAUGCAUAGAUAUCACGCAGAACACCGAUUGCGAAGGCAUCUCACGAACCCGCGAUUGACGCUGAUGCACGAAAGCGUGGGUAUCAAACAGG
rnacentral:rRNA from 1 species